rnacentral:rRNA from 1 species
GACGAACGCUGGCGGCGUGCUUAACACAUGCAAGUCGAGCGGAAAGGCCCUUUCGGGGGUACUCGAGCGGCGAACGGGUGAGUAACACGUGAGUAAUCUGCCCUUCACUUGGGGAUAACCUCCGGAAACGGUGGCUAAUACCCGAUACGACCAUUCCUCGCAUGAGGUGGGGGUGGAAAGUUUUUCGGUGGGGGAUGUGCUCGCGGCCUAUCAGCUUGUUGGUGGGGUAAUGGCCUACCAAGGCUUCGACGGGUAGCCGGCCUGAGAGGGUGACCGGCCACACUGGGACUGGGCCACGGCCCAGACUCCUACGGGAGGCAGCAGUGCGGAAUAUUGGACAAUGGGCGGAAGCCUGAUCCAGCAACGCCGCGUGAGGGAUGACGGCCUUCGGGUUGUAAACCUCUUUCACCUGUGACGAAGCGAAAGUGACGGUAGCAGGAGAAGAAGCACCGGCCAACUACGUG